UACGUAGGGUGCAAGCGUUAAUCGGAAUUACUGGGCGUAAAGCGUGCGCAGGCGGCUUUGUAAGUCAGAUGUGAAAUCCCCGGGCUCAACCUGGGAACUGCAUUUGUGACUGCAUGGCUAGAGUACGGUAGAGGGGGAUGGAAUUCCGCGUGUAGCAGUGAAAUGCGUAGAUAUGCGGAGGAACACCGAUGGCGAAGGCAAUCCCCUGGACCUGUACUGACGCUCAUGCGCGAAAGCGUGGGGAGCAAACAGG
rnacentral:rRNA from 1 species